CCUACGGGUGGCAGCAGUAGGGAAUUUUCGUCAAUGGGCGCAAGCCUGAACGAGCAAUGCCGCGUGAACGAGGAAGGUCCUCGGAUCGUAAAGUUCUGUUGAAGGGGAAAAAGAGCGGAGCGAGGAAAUGCUUUCUGAUUGAUAUUACCCUUCGAGGAAGUCACGGCUAACUACGUGCCAGCAGCAGCGGUAAUACGUAGGUGGCGAGCGUUAUCCGGAUUGAUUGGGCGUAAAGGGUGCGUAGGCGGCCUGCUAAGUCUGGGGUUAAAGGGACGGGCUCAACCGGUACCGGCCAUGGAAACUGGCGGGCUAGAGAGCAGGAGAGGUAGGUGGAACGCGAUGUGUAGCGGUAAAAUGCGUAGAUAUAUGGAAGAACACCAGUGGCGAAGGCAGCCGCCUGGCCUGUUACUGACGCUGAGGCACGAAAGCGUGGGGAGCAAAUAGGAUUAGAUACCCCAGUAGUC
rnacentral:rRNA from 1 species